UACGUAGGUGGCAAGCGUUGUCCGGAUUUACUGGGCGUAAAGAGCGCGCAGGCGGUCGUAUAAGUCGAAUGUGAAAGCCCCCGGCUCAACUGGGGAGGGUCAUUCGAUACUGUUCGACUCGAAGGCAGGAGAGGGAAGUGGAAUUUCCGGUGUAGCGGUGAAAUGCGUAGAUAUCGGAAGGAACAUCAGUGGCGAAAGCGGCUGCCUGGACCAGUCCUGACGCUGAGGCGCGAAAGCUAGGGGAGCAAACAGG
rnacentral:rRNA from 1 species